CCAUUCUAUUGGGUUAUUAUGGAGACUUACUCACCUAGGGAUGGUGAGUUAAGUUGUUGGUCAUUGGUAAUUGAACCAAACCUCUGGCCCUCCACCUCCUCUCUCUUACCUGAGGACUGGUAGGACUGAAAUCUCCAACCCUCUUAUCACCAAUUUGGGUCCCCUUGGCAGCCAGCCCUAUCUCUGGGUUACCUAGGGACUUUCUGAGUCACCUCAUUAACUUAACAAAAGGUGCCUUUAUUUCACUUAGGAAAUUCCAAGGGUUUUUUGCAGCUUUUUUGCCAGGAAAAGGGAUAAAAACCAAAUAUGUAUUUCCUUUUAUAAAUUAUAGUAUUACAAACGUGAUGUGGAAAUUGUAAGACAUCAUGUUCUAAAUAUAUUCUGAAUCAAAUAUUUAUUUAUAUAAGGAGUUAAGCAAGAUUAUUUUUUUUCCUGAUGAGCUGCCCUGAUAAUUUUUCUGAAGGAGGCACCUGCCAAUAUUGACCUAAGCCUUAAUAACCUUUCUUGGCCUAUAGGUUGAAAUAUAGAACUCAGAAUGGCUGACUGCCAGGAUUCCAGGCAAGAUAGAAAGAACUCUGCAUAAUACAAUGAGAAGAAUUAGGACCUGGGGCAUGAAGCAGGUAGGGGUUUAAGGAAGAGACAGAGCAUUGGAUGGGGAGCCAGAUGACAUAAUGCUGAUUGCUACACCAGAGAUUCCUCCCCACUGUUUCCAAAAUCUUCAAUGUUCCUACAAAAGUUUUGAGCACACAUUUCCUCAGCCUGUUUUCUGCUCCAUCUUCCCUUUGUUCUCUUGGACAAAUUGAGUGAUGUUGAUUUCAUUUGGAAUGUGCAGUAUCAAAGGUUACGUGGAGAUUAUGCAAGUGAAGUAAACCAUCAGGACAAAAUUGGAGAAAUUCAAAGGAAAAAUAAUAGGGAAAAGAUGUUCAACAUAUGGAGAAAAAGUGAAAAGACAAGAAAAAAAAUGAAGGCUUAUUCAGGUUUAAAGAAACCUUUGUUUUUCUUCUAUGCAACAUUGGGGUUUAAAAUUCUGGUGACAAAUGUAGGAGAUUUAGAGCCAGAAAAACUUGUGUUUGAGUCUGAGCUUUAUCCCCUGCUUCCUGUAUUAUAUUGGGAGUCUGUUUACCAUCCCAAGAGCCUUAGUUACAUCUUCUGUAAACUGGAAAUCAUAAUCCUGUUCAAGCCACAUCACAGAAUCAAGAGGAUGAAUAAACUUUUUAAUUGCUUUAUAAACAUUAGAGAUUUAUGCUUUUGUUUUUUUUUCUAUCAAACCAAGUUCUAAAACAUUUCUUUGAAAUAUUAUUAUGUAAGAAAUCUUCAAUUCUUGCAUCCAAUUCAACUAUAUUUGUAAAUGGGAUAGUUGGAAUAUUAAACUUAAU
rnacentral:lncRNA from 12 species